rnacentral:rRNA from 1 species
UACGUAGGUGGCAAGCGUUGUCCGGAAUUAUUGGGCGUAAAGCGCGCGCAGGCGGUCCCUUAAGUCUGAUGUGAAAGCCCACGGCUCAACCGUGGAGGGUCAUUGGAAACUGGGGGGAUUUGAGUACAGAAGAGGAAAGCGGAAUUCCACGUGUAGCGGUGAAAUGCGUAGAGAUGUGGAGGAACACCAGUGGCGAAGGCGAGUCCCUGGACAACACCUGACACUGAGGCACGAAAGCUAGGGGAGCAAACAGG